rnacentral:rRNA from 1 species
UUAAGCGACUAAGCGUACACGGUGGAUGCCCUGGCAGUCAGAGGCGAUGAAGGACGUGCUAAUCUGCGAUAAGCGUCGGUAAGGUGAUAUGAACCGUUAUAACCGGCGAUUUCCGAAUGGGGAAACCCAGUGUGAUUCGUCACACUAUCAUUAACUGAAUCCAUAGGUUAAUGAGGCGAACCGGGGGAACUGAAACAUCUAAGUACCCCGAGGAAAAGAAAUCAACCGAGAUUCCCCCAGUAGCGGCGAGCGAACGGGGAGCAGCCCAGAGCCUGAAUCAGUGUGUGUGUUAGUGGAAGCGUCUGGAAAGGCGCGCGAUACAGGGUGACAGCCCCGUACACAAAAAUGCACAUGCUGUGAGCUCGAUGAGUAGGGCGGGACACGUGGUAUCCUGUCUGAAUAUGGGGGGACCAUCCUCCAAGGCUAAAUACUCCUGACUGACCGAUAGUGAACCAGUACCGUGAGGGAAAGGCGAAAAGAACCCCGGCGAGGGGAGUGAAAAAGAACCUGAAACCGUGUACGUACAAGCAGUGGGAGCCUCUUUAUGGGGUGACUGCGUACCUUUUGUAUAAUGGGUCAGCGACUUAUAUUCUGUAGCAAGGUUAACCGAAUAGGGGAGCCGAAGGGAAACCGAGUCUUAACUGGGCGUUAAGUUGCAGGGUAUAGACCCGAAACCCGGUGAUCUAGCCAUGGGCAGGUUGAAGGUUGGGUAACACUAACUGGAGGACCGAACCGACUAAUGUUGAAAAAUUAGCGGAUGACUUGUGGCUGGGGGUGAAAGGCCAAUCAAACCGGGAGAUAGCUGGUUCUCCCCGAAAGCUAUUUAGGUAGCGCCUCGUGAAUUCAUCUCCGGGGGUAGAGCACUGUUUCGGCAAGGGGGUCAUCCCGACUUACCAACCCGAUGCAAACUGCGAAUACCGGAGAAUGUUAUCACGGGAGACACACGGCGGGUGCUAACGUCCGUCGUGAAGAGGGAAACAACCCAGACCGCCAGCUAAGGUCCCAAAGUCAUGGUUAAGUGGGAAACGAUGUGGGAAGGCCCAGACAGCCAGGAUGUUGGCUUAGAAGCAGCCAUCAUUUAAAGAAAGCGUAAUAGCUCACUGGUCGAGUCGGCCUGCGCGGAAGAUGUAACGGGGCUAAACCAUGCACCGAAGCUGCGGCAGCGACACUAUGUGUUGUUGGGUAGGGGAGCGUUCUGUAAGCCUGUGAAGGUGGCCUGUGAGGGUUGCUGGAGGUAUCAGAAGUGCGAAUGCUGACAUAAGUAACGAUAAAGCGGGUGAAAAGCCCGCUCGCCGGAAGACCAAGGGUUCCUGUCCAACGUUAAUCGGGGCAGGGUGAGUCGACCCCUAAGGCGAGGCCGAAAGGCGUAGUCGAUGGGAAACAGGUUAAUAUUCCUGUACUUGGUGUUACUGCGAAGGGGGGACGGAGAAGGCUAUGUUGGCCGGGCGACGGUUGUCCCGGUUUAAGCGUGUAGGCUGGUUUUCCAGGCAAAUCCGGAAAAUCAAGGCUGAGGCGUGAUGACGAGGCACUACGGUGCUGAAGCAACAAAUGCCCUGCUUCCAGGAAAAGCCUCUAAGCAUCAGGUAACAUCAAAUCGUACCCCAAACCGACACAGGUGGUCAGGUAGAGAAUACCAAGGCGCUUGAGAGAACUCGGGUGAAGGAACUAGGCAAAAUGGUGCCGUAACUUCGGGAGAAGGCACGCUGAUAUGUAGGUGAAGCGACUUGCUCGUGGAGCUGAAAUCAGUCGAAGAUACCAGCUGGCUGCAACUGUUUAUUAAAAACACAGCACUGUGCAAACACGAAAGUGGACGUAUACGGUGUGACGCCUGCCCGGUGCCGGAAGGUUAAUUGAUGGGGUUAGCGGUAACGCGAAGCUCUUGAUCGAAGCCCCGGUAAACGGCGGCCGUAACUAUAACGGUCCUAAGGUAGCGAAAUUCCUUGUCGGGUAAGUUCCGACCUGCACGAAUGGCGUAAUGAUGGCCAGGCUGUCUCCACCCGAGACUCAGUGAAAUUGAACUCGCUGUGAAGAUGCAGUGUACCCGCGGCAAGACGGAAAGACCCCGUGAACCUUUACUAUAGCUUGACACUGAACAUUGAGCCUUGAUGUGUAGGAUAGGUGGGAGGCUUUGAAGUGUGGACGCCAGUCUGCAUGGAGCCGACCUUGAAAUACCACCCUUUAAUGUUUGAUGUUCUAACGUUGGCCCCUGAUCGGGGUUGCGGACAGUGUCUGGUGGGUAGUUUGACUGGGGCGGUCUCCUCCUAAAGAGUAACGGAGGAGCACGAAGGUUGGCUAAUCCUGGUCGGACAUCAGGAGGUUAGUGCAAUGGCAUAAGCCAGCUUGACUGCGAGCGUGACGGCGCGAGCAGGUGCGAAAGCAGGUCAUAGUGAUCCGGUGGUUCUGAAUGGAAGGGCCAUCGCUCAACGGAUAAAAGGUACUCCGGGGAUAACAGGCUGAUACCGCCCAAGAGUUCAUAUCGACGGCGGUGUUUGGCACCUCGAUGUCGGCUCAUCACAUCCUGGGGCUGAAGUAGGUCCCAAGGGUAUGGCUGUUCGCCAUUUAAAGUGGUACGCGAGCUGGGUUUAGAACGUCGUGAGACAGUUCGGUCCCUAUCUGCCGUGGGCGCUGGAGAACUGAGGGGGGCUGCUCCUAGUACGAGAGGACCGGAGUGGACGCAUCACUGGUGUUCGGGUUGUCAUGCCAAUGGCACUGCCCGGUAGCUAAAUGCGGAAGAGAUAAGUGCUGAAAGCAUCUAAGCACGAAACUUGCCCCGAGAUGAGUUCUCCCUGACUCCUUGAGAGUCCUGAAGGAACGUUGAAGACGACGACGUUGAUAGGCCGGGUGUGUAAGCGCAGCGAUGCGUUGAGCUAACCGGUACUAAUGAACCGUGAGGCUUAACCUU